CUACCUGGAACGGGCAGGAAAGAAAAAUGCAGAUAAGAAAAUUAAAACCACAGACUCCUGGGCAGCGAACAAGAGCCUUCUGAUCCUAAUUCGAUCUGGAGUUAAGAAUGAAGGGGAUUUCUGUAGCAGUUUCUUUUGCAUAGCAGAGCUCCGACUUUUCCAGCAACAGCGUGUCCCUGGAAGCUACACAAAGUCCUCUUUGAUUGCCUGUGAUCAAAGCCACGAAGGCUCUCCUGCAACAUCUUAGCUUCAGAAAGCCAGGAAAAUCAGAAUGCUGAGAGUAUAUUAAUAAUUCCUAAACAUAUUUUUAAGGUUCUUCAGGCCUGUCUCAGAGCUAUGGAGGAUGCAGCAAAAGGGAUGCCUUUGAUCUGCUGUCUCUGGAUGCACAAGGAGCUCAGAGAAACAACCAGGACACAGAACAAAACAAAGCAUGGAGCUCUAAUUUAGGGGUUUCAGCUAAGCGAGUCACUCAGCACCAGCACUGCACAGGAGGGUAUCAGAGCCAGGAGGGUGGCUGACUCUGAUGAUAGAACAAGAGCCAAAUAUGCUCCUGAUGCUCCAGUAGAGUGGUCUUCAGGUGAUCGAGAUUCCGAGCUCCCAAACCAAGGCAAGAAUAAGGAAACUGGAACAGGAGGGCAUGCUGGGCUCCAGCCUCCCGUGACAGUGAAACAUUGCCUUAGAAUGACUGUUGUUAAUACAAUUGAGGAAAUAUAACACGUAAUCUUGUGAUUAAGUUAUACACAAUUUGAUUUAAAUUUAGUUCCUGGCAGUUGCUAGGUUUCACUCUGGCAUACUCUCUCAGUGUGGAAGCUGCUGAUUCAGAAAGAGAUGUUCCAAAGCUCAUGUAUUUCCUGGACACAUCCAAGUACUGAAUAAAAUGCUGGUUAAAUAAAUGAGUUAAUUUUCCAAGAAAGACACC
rnacentral:lncRNA from 1 species